rnacentral:rRNA from 1 species
CACCGCGGUUAUACGAGAGGCUCAAGCUGAUAGACACCGGCGUAAAGAGUGGUUAAUAAGAAAUGAAACUAAAGCUAAACACCCUCAAAGCCGUUAUACGCAGCCGAGGGCAGGAAAAACCCCCACGAAAGUGGCUUUAAAAUUAUGAACCCACGAAAACUAGGACA